rnacentral:sRNA from 1 species
UUGAAUGUUAUUAAGUCCUCUAUUUAUCCAAAGCCUGCUGCAGCUGCACUGCAAGCUUUCUUCAUUCUGCCCUGUCAAUGACCUACAGGGAUUAUCCUCUUUCAGAGGGGGUAAAAUAGGAUUCUUUCACCGAUCAGUAUACUUUUCUAUU